GAGUUGUGUUUCAGCACCGACUAUGUGGUCACCGGGUAUCAUGCCUGAGAGCUAGGUAAGUUUUUGGAUCAAAUCUUUCUUUCCAGCCUUUUCCCCUGCUUAAACUAAUUUCAGCAGAGAGAUCAUUUGUUUCUGGUCUAUUUUACUAUCUCUGAACAAUUUUUUAAUGUGGGCUGGGUUAUCAGAGAAUUGUAGAGACAGCUGGUAAACAAAAUGAUGGGAUCUUAGAGUCAAUUUUCCUCUGUUAUUAGUGUGAAGGCUUUUACUCCCCAGCAAUUUAUCAUCACUUCAGAGGAAAAGAGCAGCAAAUAGUGUUAUGUUUUAUUUGUUAAGGGAGCUCUAGUCAUUUGACAAACAAGUUUUACUAGAGAGAUAUUUUCGGGGAGACGAAAAAUAUUUCUUUUUAAAGAUUGACACUGAAUUUUACUGAUAUCAUUAAGUGACCCCCACUGAACUGUAAGCAGUGGAAUAAGUUUCAAUGUUUUUUAUAAAUAGAGAAUAUGUAAUUCCUGCCCUCACAGAUUUUAAACCUAAAAAAAAGAGAGAGUAAGACAGCACACUAAUAUUUUUUCCAAUUUUUAUUUAAGUUAAAAACAAUUUUAAAAGGGAAAAAACAACUAAAUAUGUAGUGACCCUCUGUGGCCUGACAGUUAUAUGAAGUUAAAUGAAGAAAAAUUAGAUAUCAGUAAAUAAGUCAGUUUCAGUACCUGGCUGUACAGAUGUUUUCCUAAACAACUUUUUAAAAUGUAGAGCAUUUAAAAAUUUUGGAUUAGGUAACCAGCAAAAGCAACGGAAAUAUAGCACUUUACUUUUUCUCUAUGGUAUCCUCUGCAGAUGUGGAGGUUUUAAAAAACUGUUAUUGAUAUCAGUCAAGCUGUGGAUUUCUAGCAACAUGAAGUACAGAAAACAAUUAUCCAGAUAAUUCAAGAUUUAUGGGGGAAAAUACCCUCAAAAUUGUUACUGGGGAAAAGAGAAUGAGUGGGGAGAAGGGAGGAGGUUAAUUAUGCAUUACCAGCUACACUGAUUGAACUACCCAGAUGGUUACCAUCUUUCACCUUAACUCUGACUGUAUAGACACAGAUUCUGAGAAAGCCAUCUUAAAUAAGCGUGUGGAAGAAUUAUCCUCGGCAAUGCGGAAUGACAGAAAAUGUCUUGUAGAGUUUCUAAUAAGAAAAAUAUUUUUUCUUGUCUUGUAGAACUUGAUGUCUGAUAGGUCCUAAUGCAUGUAUUCUUUUAUCAAAAACUUCACAACUCUCUAACUUGCAAGCUCCUUUUCUCUACCCUCAGCUGAGUUUACCAAUUACACUUCACUUUCUCCUACAUCUUCUUUCAUUUUACCCUCCAAUGAACUGGGCCGUCUCCCUACCAUACUAUCUAAGUAAUAAACACGUACUUCACCCCUUACAUGAAA
rnacentral:lncRNA from 1 species